rnacentral:tRNA from 1 species
GGUCCUGUGGCCUAAUGGAUAAGGCGUCUGACUUCGAAUCAGAUGAUUGCUGGUUCGAGUCCUACCAGGAUCG